rnacentral:lncRNA from 1 species
AUAAGUCAGUGAUGCCUGUCACAGAUAGGACAAGAAGCAAUCCUGAAUCUCAGGAACCUGAACAAGAACCUUCUAACAAUACACAAGGGAAGUUAUGGACAAAUGGUGGAUUGCUAGGAUUAGAUCCAUUAAAACCUCCAGAUUUCAGUGUAUUAAAUGCCAUCCAUCAAGAUCCUGCAUCCAGCAAAGAUGGAAGCAUCUGUACUUUCAGGGCUAGAGCUGCAAAGAAAUCUGAUGAAAUCGAGAACUCCAGAAAUAUGGGAAAUGAUUUCGAUAUGGAUAGCUCUAUAUCACAUCAAAAUUACCAGGAAGGUGGCACCUCAUUUGGGAAGACGUCUUGGAAAAUUUCGACUACCAAUUUAGAUGUCAAGCUUGAAAAGUCCAGUAAUUCACUUCAUCGAAAUUAUGUCGGUAGUACUGCGAACAAUGGAUCUACUGACUCUGGUGUAGGACCAUCUAGAAGUUCUCAGCCUGUCAGCUCAGAUAUUCGAUUUACCAGAGAUCAUAGGGAGAAUUGCAGAAGUUCUAGGAUGUUUGAACUGGGCAAUCUAUUGUUUACAAAUGAAUCUUAUAGAAAGCUAUUGGUUGGCAGAGAUGACCACUCUGGUUCUUCCGGCUACCUAAAUACAGGUGUUAUCGAACAGAACAAUUGUCAAAAUAUUGCAGAUCAAUCAUUCUCUGGAAGAUCUAGAGAUUUGUUUGGAGGUGGAUCUCGAUUAAUGUCGUUCUCUUCCUCACCGCCACUUGAACACAUGAAAGUAUCGUUCCGGCCUACAGAUGGCUGUGAGACUACCAAGAUGAACUUAAAAUUCGCUGAUGGCAAUAAUAAUCUUGGAAGCGAUGGAAAUAUUUUUCCUUCAUUUCAAUUGGUCCCAGGGAUGUCAACUACUCAGCAUAACGUUGGUUCGGACUCAGAUGACACAUUCUAUAGAUCAUCACCUUCUGUAUCAGAUGAUAGUCUUAGCCAUCGGUCUAAUUCAAAUUCUGAGCAAUGUGAGUCCGGAGAAUCUCCCAGUAGCAAGGAGCACGAUUUAUAUGACGUUUUACGCAGAAUCUCGUCGAUGGAAUCUACUUCAACAAUAAGGGAAAAUGGGAGGUCGAGACACGGAGAGAUCUAUGAGAACCCUUGUCGUCAACUUCCAUUUGUUAAAAGCGUUGUGGACAAACAUUCUCAAUCUUGUGGUUUGUUUGAUAUUCCAAAGUUUAAUAUCCAAAAUCACUCGCUCAGGGAAGAACUGCAAAACGAUUCGUCAACAAUGGAUCCUGUGGAGACACAAUUUUCACCUACCCCUCCACCUCUCCCUCCUGCACAAUGGCGGACUAUGAAGUCACGUCUGGAUGAUACAGAAAAUGGGCAUGCUGUGAUAUCUGGCGGCCUUAACUAUGCAUCUGGUCUUACACGUUCAACAUCUACAAUAUCUCAUCAACCUAAGCAGUUCACAGAUAGGACAAGAAGCAAUCCUGAAUCUCAGGAACCUGAACAAGAACCUUCUAACAAUACACAAGGGAAGUUAUGGACAAAUGGUGGAUUGCUAGGAUUAGAUCCAUUAAAACCUCCAGAUUUCAGUGUAUUAAAUGCCAUCCAUCAAGAUCCUGCAUCCAGCAACGAUGGAAGUAUCUGUACUUUCAGGGCUAGAGCUGCAAAGAAAUCUGAUGAAAUCGAGAACUCCAGAAAUAUGGGAAAUGAUUUCGAUAUGGAUAGCUCUAUAUCACAUCAAAAUUACCAGGAAGGUGGCACCUCAUUUGGGAAGACGUCUUGGAAAAUUUCGACUACCAAUUUAGAUGUCAAGCUUGAAAAGUCCAGUAAUUCACUUCAUCGAAAUUAUGUCGGUAGUACUGCGAACAAUGGAUCUACUGACUCUGGUGUAGGACCAUCUAGAAGUUCUCAGCCUGUCAGCUCAGAUAUUCGAUUUACCAGAGAUCAUAGGGAGAAUUGCAGAAGUUCUAGGAUGUUUGAACUGGGCAAUCUAUUGUUUACAAAUGAAUCUUAUAGAAAGCUAUUGGUUGGCAGAGAUGACCACUCUGGUUCUUCUGGCUACCUAAAUACAGGUGUUAUCGAACAGAACAAUUGUCAAAAUAUUGCAGAUCAAUCAUUCUCUGGAAGAUCUAGAGAUUUGUUUGGAGGUGGAUCUCGAUUAAUGUCGUUCUCUUCCUCACCGCCACUUGAACACAUGAAAGUAUCGUUCCGGCCUACAGAUGGCUGUGAGACUACCAAGAUGAACUUAAAAUUCGCUGAUGGCAAUAAUAAUCUUGGAAGCGAUGGAAAUAUUUUUCCUUCAUUUCAAUUGGUCCCAGGGAUGUCAACUACUCAGCAUAACGUUGGUUCGGACUCAGAUGACACAUUCUAUAGAUCAUCACCUUCUGUAUCAGAUGAUAGUCUUAGCCAUCGGUCUAAUUCAAAUUCUGAGCAAUGUGAGUCCGGAGAAUCUCCCAGUAGCAAGGAGCACGAUUUAUAUG